rnacentral:rRNA from 1 species
CCUACGGGUGACAGCAGUGAGGAAUAUUGGUCAAUGGGCUUACGCCUGAACCAGCCAAGUCGCGUGAGGGAAGACUGCCCUAUGGGUUGUAAACCUCUUUUGUCAGGGAGCAACGCCGGCUACGUGUAGCCGGACUGAGAGUAACUGAAGAAAAAGCAUCGGAUAACUCCGUGCCAGCAGCCGCGGUAAUACGGAGGAUGCGAGCGUUAUCCGGAUUGAUUGGGUUUAAAGGGUGCGUAGGCGGAAUGCCAAGUCAGCGGUAAAAUCGCGGGGCUCAACCUCGCUCCGCCGUUGAAACUGGCGUUCUUGAGUGGGCGAGAAGUAUGCGGAAUGCGUGGUGUAGCUGUGAAAUGCAUAGAUAUCACGCAGAACUCCGAUUGCGAAGGCAGCAUACCGGCGCCCAACUGACGCUGAAGCACGAAAGCGUGGGUAUCGAACAGGAUUAGAUACCCUAGUAGUC